rnacentral:rRNA from 1 species
UGGGGAAUAUUGCACAAUGGGGGAAACCCUGAUGCAGCGACGCCGCGUGAGCGAAGAAGGCUUUCGAGUCGUAAAGCUCUGUCCUAUGAGAAGAUAAUGACGGUAUCAUAGGAGGAAGCCCUGGCUAAAUACGUGCCAGCAGCCGCGGUAAUACGUAUGGGGCGAGCGUUGUCCGGAAUUAUUGGGCGUAAAGGGUACGUAGGCGGUUUUUUAAGUCAGGUGUCAAAGAGUGGAGCUUAACUCCAUUAAGCACUUGAAACUGAAAGACUUGAGUGAAGGAGAGGAAAGUGGAAUUCCUAGUGUAGCGGUGAAAUGCGUAGAUAUUAGGAGGAAUACCGGUGGCGAAGGCGACUUUCUGGACUUUUACUGACGCUCAGGUACGAAAGCGUGGGGAGCAAACAGG